AGAAUCAACGCUGGCGGCGUGCCUAACACAUGCAAGUCGAACGAGAAAGUGGAGCAAUCCAUGAGUAAAGUGGCGACCGGGUGAGUAACACGUGACUAACCUACCUUCGAGUGGGGGAUAACCUCGGGAAACCGAGGCUAAUACCGCAUAACAUCGCAAGAUCAAAGCAGCAAUGCGCUGGAAGAGGGGGUCGCGGCUGAUUAGCUAGUUGGCGGGUAACGCCCACAAGGCGAAGAU
rnacentral:rRNA from 1 species